rnacentral:rRNA from 1 species
GAUGAACGCUGGCGGCGUGCCUAACACAUGCAAGUCGAACGGAGUCGUUUUGGAAAUCUCUUCGGAGAUGGAAUUCUCGACUUAGUGGCGGACGGGUGAGUAACGCGUGAGCAAUCUGCCUUUAAGAGGGGGAUAACAGUCGGAAACGGCCGCUAAUACCGCAUAAAGCAUUAAAUUCGCAUGUUUUUGAUGCCAAAGGAGCAAUCCGCUUUUAGAUGAGCUCGCGUCUGAUUAGCUAGUUGGCGGGGUAACGGCCCACCAAGGCGACGAUCAGUAGCCGGACUGAGAGGUUGAACGGCCACAUUGGGACUGAGACACGGCCCAGACUCCUACGGGAGGCAGCAGUGGGGAAUAUUGCGCAAUGGGGGAAACCCUGACGCAGCAACGCCGCGUGAUUGAAGAAGGCCUUCGGGUUGUAAAGAUCUUUAAUCAGGGACGAAACAAAUGACGGUACCUGAAGAAUAAGCUCCGGCUAACUACGUG